rnacentral:rRNA from 1 species
GACGAACGCUGGCGGCGUGCUUAACACAUGCAAGUCGAACGAAGUGGCGAACGGGUGAGUAACGCGUAAUCCACCUGCCCUUCAGAGGGGGACAACAGUUGGAAACGACUGCUAAUACCGCAUACUGAAGGAGGGGAGUGCGUUGGAUUAGCUAGUUGGAGGGGUAACGGGCCACCAAGGCGAUGAUCAGUAGGCGGGCUGGAAGGAUGGACGGCCACAUUGGGACUGGGACACGGCCCAGACUCCUUAGGGAGGCAGCAGUUGGGAAUCUUCCGAAAUGGAGGAAAGUCUGACGAAGCAAAGCCGCGUGAGUGAUGACGGCCCUCGGGUUGUAAAGCUCUGUUAAUCGGGACGCGGUACCGGAAUAGAAAGCCACGGCUAACUACGUGCCAGCAGCCGCGGUAAUAC